rnacentral:rRNA from 1 species
UCUACGGGUGGCAGCAGUGAGGAAUAUUGGUCAAUGGCCGGAAGGCUGAACCAGCCAUGCCGCGUGAAGGUCAGUGCCCUAUGGGCGUUAAACUUCUUUUGUGCGGGAGCAAUAAUGGUCACGUGUGGCCAGACGAGAGUACCGUACGAAUAAGAAUCGGCUAACUUCGUGCCAGCAGCCGCGGUAAUACGGGGGAGGCAAGCGUUAUACGGAUUUAUUGGGUUUUAAGGGUGCGUAAGCUGUGAGGUAAGUCAGGGGUGAAAGGCCCCCGCUCAACGGGGGGAAGUGCCAGUGAUACUGCCGUGCUGGAAUGCGGAUGCGGUGGGAGGAAUGUGUGGUGUAGCGGUGAAAUGCAUAGAUAUCACACAGAACACCGAUUGCGAAGGCAUCUCACGGAUCCGCGAUUGACGCUGAUGCACGAAAGCGUGGGUAUCGAACAGGAUUAGAUACCCUGGUAGUC